GGGCUUGACAUCCCACGAAUCCCUUCGAAAGAAGGGAGUGCCCGCAAGGGAGCGCGGAGACAGGUGGUGCAUGGCUGUCGUCAGCUCGUGUCGUGAGAUGUUGGGUUAAGUCCCGCAACGAGCGCAACCCUCACCCCUUGUUGCCAUCAGGUCAGGCUGGGCACUCUAGGGGAACUGCCCCGGUCAACGGGGAGGAAGGUGGGGACGACGUCAAGUCAUCAUGCCCCUUACGUCCUGGGCUACACACGUGCUACAAUGGCCGGUACAAAGGGAUGCCACACCGCGAGGUAGAGCUAAACCCAAAAAGCCGGUCUAAGUUCAGAUUGGAGUCUGCAACUCGACUCCAUGAAGGAGGAAUCGCUAGUAAUCGCGUAUCAGCACGACGCGGUGAAUACGUUCCCGGGCCUUGUACACACCGCCCGUCACACCACGAAAGCCAGUUGUACUCGAAGUCGCUGAG
rnacentral:rRNA from 1 species